CCAGUAGAGAAAACAGAAAGAAAAAAAUAAGAACAGCAUGUAUUUGACGUAGCAAAGGACAAUCUAAUCCUCCUUUUUAAUAACCCCCAUCUAUUCUGCAUUCUUUUGGAAGAACGCAAUAGAAGAAAAAAAAAACAAGGCCUUAUUACAUUAUGACUAUGACUAGCACAAUUCAAAGUGAUCAGGGCAGAAUGCUUGCCAGGCAUUACAAACAUUUAAAACUAUGCGUUUGUGCCAAGUGAAAGAGGCUCAUUCUAUUCUUUCCCAGCCUCAUAAGAAAAUAUGCACUUGCUUAAAGGGGUCAUUCAGCUGCCAAGGAAAUAAUAACCUCAGGUUUUCAGAAUAAAUAACACUUUAGUCCGUGUUCCAAUUCACAAUAUCAAGAUCAGCUAUGUGUGCCCUGUGUCUGCAGAAGAACUCAUAGCUAGCGCUUGCACACAAGGUCUAAUUUACCGAUGUAAUAAAGCAGGAGUGGGCACUUCAAAGUCUGCUUUGCAGGUGGUAAAGACAUGAGGCAGAAGGGUGUCAGUAUUGUUCAAGGUCACACAGACCCUCCCACUCCUAGUGCACAUAGUUGUCUGCUCUAGCAGGAAUCCAAACAAUAAAAUAAAAUAGCUCUUUAGUCUGGAACCAAUCACUUGCCGGCCCUUCACAACAUAUUUCUGUUUUCUUUCUGCUGGAGUAAUUAUUUGUAUUUAUAAGGUAAUUUUAUUUCCUUAUCAAUCACGGUUCUCACACACAUUUAAGAAUUUCCUUGAAAUGAUAUUCCACUGCCAUAGAGAAAAAAAUUGAUUGUGAUAUGUUUGAAAGAAUUAGGUGCCCAAUUUAAAAAGCAAUUAUUCUCAUUGACAUCUUAUUUGGCAGGAAGCUGGGAGACAGGGCCCUGGGCUGUAGGAACACAGUCCUAGUAAAGACAGGCAAGGGAAGAGCUUCAAGCCAGGAGUCGGCUGCGAUACUAAGGCAGGUCCUACCUGUGCUGGGGAGUCCUGAGUUCCUGUCUAAGUCCCAAGCUCCUCAUUGCCUACCUGUGCUGGAAAGUCCUGAGUUCCUAAGUCCCAAGCUCCUUACUGCCUACCUGUGCUGGAAAGUCCUGAGUUCCUAAGUCCCAAGCUCCUCACUGCCUACCUGUACUGGAAAGUCCUGAGUUUCUAAGUCCCAAGCUCCUCACUACCUACCUGUGCUGGAAAGUCCUGAGUUCCUAAGUCCCAAGCUCCUCAAUGCCUACCUGUGCUGGCAAGUCCUGAGUUCCUAAGUCCCAAGCUCCUCACUGCUUACCUGUGCUGGAGAGUCCUGAGUUUAUGCAUGUUCCUGUCUGAGUCCCAAGCUCCUCAGGAUACAAGUGCCUGGGCCUUCAGAUCAGGGUGAUUAGUUCUGCUGAAUUUUCAGGAGAAAGAGUAAAUAAAGUUGUCUAUAAGGGGUGUCCAAAUUUUUUAGUGCUAAUACCAUUUUUUAAUUCAUUUUCAGGUCAUCCUGGGCUAAACCCAACCCAAAUGCAGGUCAAACCUACAGGCCAUCAGUAUGCAUAACUUUUGCAUAACAUCAAGUCCUUGAUUCCCACUGUGGUUGGCGCUUUUGUUUCCAGGCUGGGAAAACAAGCUAUUGGCUUCUCCCUACGGGAUGUCUGCUGGGUGGAUAACCCUUGAACAGUGACAGAACUGGAGAGUCUCUGUUGGAACUCCACAGGGUAGGUGACUGCUUUGUCUCCUGUGACCUUAAUGCCUUAAUCCACUGGUCCUAACGCGGUUCCACUCCUUAAUAUGGGGCGUGGAUGAAGCACUCUAAGGAGGCCCUGACAUUCUCAUCAUCGAGGUGUCUUUUAAGCCUGUGGUUUUAGGAUGACCUCUUUCAGCAUGGUACCAUCAGACUCCUGUUCAGCUGGUUGCAGCAAGCUUCAGAUGACCUCCUCUUACCCUCUUGUCACCUCAGUGACAGAAGUGCCAAAGAUAAGGCAUGCAAACCAGAAACACAAGGGUCUAGAGCCAGCAGUGAGAAGAGUGGCCAAGCAAGUGACAGGGCCAUAAACUAACUCACUCUUUCAACUUAGACUUAAGUGAACAAACCUCUUCCGUUGGGCUUGAUCAGCCACCCGAUGACUCCACCCACGGCCACUGCUGCCUCCUUCAUCCACUAGUGGGCCAGUUUCACAGGCCCACGCUCUGUCUUCAAUUUCUUAAUUCUCUCUUGAGCCUAUCUUUCCUCUAAGUGAAGUCUGCUGGGAAAACUGAAUAUGCACAUAAGCAGAAAAGUCAUGUGGAAAAAAAGAGAAAACUCUGCAUUUUUGUACCUUUAAGAGGGGAGAGAAAUACUUUCUGUUAUAUAUGCAAGCUAGGGAGACCCAUUAGGUAAGAAGUUAUUCAAGAUGGUUUUCCUUGUUAGCCUAGGCUAGCCUUCAACUCCCUAUGUAGCUGAUGAUUACCUAGAAUUUCCGAUCGACCUGCCUUUACCACCCAAGUGUUGUUAUUACAGGCAUGGGCCAUGUCACCCAGUUUUGUUCAUGGCAAUUCUCCAGUUUUUCUACAGACAUCAAUUUGCUGUCUUACAAUUUAAUCCAGCUCUGGCAGAGUUGGAGCCUUGGUGCCAACCCUACAGGGGAAGGCCAGACUUGCCAGACUGCCCCUGUUUCAGGUCCCCAACACAACAAGGUGGACUUCCCUUUUGACUUACGACUGAGGGAAGCCAGGGCAAGAACUCAAGGCAGCAACCUGAAAAAAAAAAAAAAAAAAAAAAGAACUCGAAGCAGAAGCCAUGGAGGACCACAGCUUGCUGACUUCCUUCCCCUAGCUUUUCCUGCUUGCUUUCUUACACAGCUCAGGCCCGCCUGCCUAGGGAUGGCACUGUUUACAAUGGGCUGGGCCCUUCUGCAUCAAUUAGCAAUUAAGAAAAUGCCUCACAGACAUGGCCACAGCCCAAUCUGAUGGAGGCAGUUUUUCAGUCGAGGUUCCUCUUCCCAGGUGACUGUAGGGUUGUGCCAACUUGACAGCUGAAGCUAAUUAUGACACUUACUAUCACCGGUUUAUGAUAAAGGGCACAGCUCCAAAGCAAACACACAGAGGAGAUUAUGGGGCAGAGUCAGGGAGGGUGUUUUUCAGGUGCUCGCAGAGGUUUCUAGUGCACCACCACUUAGGUUAAGCCCUCCUGGAGUUGUCUGCUAUGCUUUGGAAGUGUCCCUCAAAGGCCCAUGUGUUGAAACUCGAUCACUAACUGCUGGCACUAUUGGCAGGUGACAGACCCUAUCGCAAGUGAGGCCUAGUAGAGGAAGUGUGACCUAGGCCAACCUCUGUUUUCUCUCUUUGCUUCUUGGCUUUUGUGAGGCAAGUGUCUUUGUUCCACAAUGUGCUGCACACCAUGGCAUGCGACAGGACCAGGAGCAAUGAGCCCGACUAAGCAAAGACCGAAACCUCUGUGUCGAUAGCCCAAAGUAAACUCUCUUUUUCACUUAUCUCAGGUACUCAUUCAUGUGUAGAAAGCCAAGAUCAAUUACACACGCUAUGUCAGCAGAGCUCAGGGCAACCAGCUCCCAGGACCCAAGAUUUUCCCACUCGCAUCAACCCUGGUAGGGUCAAGAGGGGUUUGUUACACAUAAGGAAAGAUGUUCCUCUCAACUCUGCCUCCUCGGGGAAUCUCAGGGGUCUUCGAAGCUGCGUGCCAAGAACCAGGAGCUAUUUUUUGCGGCUGUUACAGCUCUAACAGUUUUCUUGUCCCCGUCAGCAGGAGGCCCAGCAUUUUCAUUUCACAGUGAACCUUACAAAUUAGAAAUCAUAUGUAACCUACAGAAAUUGUGGCUUUGGUGGGCCACAGGAGAGGUGUCCAGCCUUCCUAAACCCAAACCACAACCCUUCGACUGUACUAUGAUGGAUACCAUCCUCACUCAGUAGGUAAGCUUGCUCCAACGCCUUUUGAAACCCGGGGUCCUGUGCAAUGCUCUAACCUUACCAAGUGUCGGGGGACUCUGAGGGCAGUAUGCCUUCGUCUUUGCCUCCUCUUCUUCCACUUGUGAUCUCUCUCUGCCCUGAGCAGCAACAUUACAAGUAAAAUGAGGAGCAGAGGAAGGCAGAGGUUUGUGGCAGAGAGAGAAAGGCUGUGCAGUGAGAAACUCCGCCCUUCAGGAUUCAGGUUCCUCACGUUGGCUGUUGCCCAACGACAGUCAUAGCAAAAGUUUACUCUGCAUGAAACCCUCAGCCUGCUAAUGACACAUUCAUAUGGGUGUGGUGUGUAUUUUAAGGACUUACAGGGAGACUAAAUUUACUUUCCUCGAAUUCUCAUACUCUCUGUGUGGGAAAGCACCUGUUUUAUUUUGAUUACAUUUUUUGUCUGUUGCUAAACUCUGCCUCUGAGCCACAGAUGAGUAAGCAGCAUUUCUGGGCUACUGCCUAGGUAGCAUCUACCCAACUGGUUGUCUUUAUUUUCACCAACCAUGAUGGAAACAUGCCAUUUUUGAAAAUCCUAAUUCAAUUAUUGCCCCCUCCCCAGUCCCUCAAAUACUCUGAUCACUGCAGAUCUAGCCUUUGAAAUAAGCAAUUCUCCUGCAGGACCCAAACUACAGGCUGAUCCACUAAAAAGCCUUGGGGAUUUUGACACCUACCUGAAAUGUGUUUGUACAGUUCCCCGUGUGUGUGUGUGUGUGUGUGUGUGUGUGUGUGUGUGUGUGUAUGCCCAUUCAUGCAUUGUUCUAGAAACAAAUAUUACUCGAAUGCAAAAAAAAGAAAAAAAAAGUGCCAGGUACUAGCCAGUGCAUUCUCCAUUCCUGAAACAAUUAUAAUCUAUUCUGCCACCGGGUCGAGAGAGUCAGGGGCAAAAGGCUGUUACAACUUUCAAUGCUAAAUUGUCCUCAUGAAUGUUCCAGUUCUCAAAACGCUUAGGAAGAGACUCCCAUCUGCUGCCCUGUGGUAGCGGGGAAAGUUAGAUUAGCUUUCUCAGCCUAUUUGCCCAUCAGUAAAGUGAAGCUAUUAACACGUUGCAGGGACUGCUGUGAAAAUGUAAUGAGAUAACAUUGUAUGUGAGUCACCCUCAUCCCCAGGUCAGGGCCACCAUGGGCUUGAUACAUGGAAGUCCUUGGCCCUCCCAAGGGAGGUGCUUUCCUGAUUACCGGUCCUCACCACCUGUGUUCUCCUGUGAUGCUGUGCUCUGCAAUUCCCAGCAGUUUUAGCAGCAUGACCCUCCAGCCCAGAGAUAAGAUGCUGUGGAAUUGCCUCUGCUACUCGGAUCCGUGGUCCCAAUUUGAUAUAUUACUAAUGCAGCCAGCUGCAAUGCCAAUGUUAGCAAUUCCAUCCCCUGCACACCUCCAUUCUGUCCCACAGCUGUGAAUACAAGUGCCAUCCUCUCUGGCCUGGCUGUGAGUCUAGAGUACAAAGCAGCUGAGGAUACUGAGGUGAGCCAGCUCUGCAGUUAGGCAGCUCCUGCUGGUCCUUCUCCUGUUUGCCUACAGCCCUACAAGAGUGUUUUCAUCCUAGAUGGCAGACCCUCCGCUCCAGAGAGAAUGGCUGCCUUGCCAUGGACCAGGCCUGGCUAAAGCUAUUCUGGGAAGAUGCAGGACAUUCACUUGCCAAAUUCCACCAGGAGCUGGGAACCCACUGAGAUUUUCCCAGGAGGCAACUGGUGCCAUUCUCUCUGUGGCUCUGGGAAGGUGAUUCUAUGUUGACUCAGUUCACACACACACAAAAAAAACCUAGACACUCAAAGAGUACUCGGGCAGGACCAGCUUAAUAAAAGUAGGUGGUAGAAUGAGAUCAGAUGUGCCAUCGUCAAUUGGCAUGCCUCAGAGCAUAUGUAUAUUUCCAGUGCUGCUGCAAACCUGUCAUUACAAGUGUGGUGUUAAGCGGGAUUGGUUUAUACCACGUAUCCAAUCGCAAAUGUAUCUACAAAGCACAUUAGUGUCUCCAAGUCACUGAGAAUUAUUCUUACCCAUCACUGACCAUUUCGGAUUCCAGUCUUAACAAGUGUAGGCCUGGCCACCUCUUACGCCUGGCACAGCCUGGUACCCCUGUUUGCUUCACUUUCUCGCUGUUGCUUUACUUCACUGUUGCCUUCCUGCCAAAUAUGCGUAAGCUGGUACAUAUUCUCAAUAGCAUGCUUACAUCCUCUCUGUGUGUUUCUCUCUGUCCCUGUGUGUGUGUGUGUGUGUGUGUGUGUGUGUGUGUGUGUGUGUGUGUGUGUGUAUCUGUCUAUCUGUCUCUCUGUUUCCCCUACACACACCCCCAAUCAUACUCUACUGCUCCAGAAGACAGAGGAUCUUAUAAGUACUGCUCAUUCCUAUUCCUCCAAACUGAGCUCAUGAUUCCUUUCAAUAGAUAGUGACUCUUUGGAGUCCACAGCUUCUCUAACUAGAGGGGAACCCUCAGAACCAGGCCCAGGGCAGAUGGCACAUAUCAUCCUCAGGAGCAGUGGCCCCCACAGGCCUCACCUGAAUGGAGCCUCACACAGCAUUUCUCCCAGUGCUGCUGCAUGGUGUUGCUGAUCCAGCCUCCUGUGAAGAUGCACAGACCUCAGAGUCGGGAGCAUACAAGCGCUGGAGCUUCAUUUCAUGAUGGGACUUCCUAUCCCAUGGCUUAGGAAGGGCUAUUUCUGUUGAACAAGUGAUUAAGUAUUUCCAAAUGAAACAUUUUUGAAAACGUAAGAGUGAUGUUUUUCAUCUUGGGCCUCCUUCGCUCAGUUUCCGUGGUUCAGCAGCGCCACCCAGUGUUAAAACCAUUUCCAUGAGAAAAUUCUCCCCUUUGCCUUGUGAAAGUGAACCUGGGAGUGUCUUUGAGCAUCACAUGAGAAGAAAAUGGGCAUCCACAGAAUGGAUAACAAUACGCCUGGGCAGUUCAGAAAAGUUCUGACCUAGAAUGCCACCAAGAUCACCCAGGAAACAAAAGGACUUUCCAGUCCCACCCAAUUAAUAACAGGGGGCAAGCCAGGACUAGCCCAGUACCAAGUAGUCAGUAGCAUCCCGACAGUGAGGGCCAUAAAGACAAGAUCAUGUGGAUGACGGGUCAGUCAUGGCUGGACCAGAUCUCAGAGAUGACAUCUUUCACUUUAUACAUGAACUAAGACUAAGCAAAACUUCACAAUAUGCACAAGUCCACAGCCAAUGACUUUGUAGCUCAGAUAAAAGUGUGUACCAUUCACCUCCUGGGUCAUCAUUCUCCUCCAAAAUGUCAAAACUCAAGAUGACCUAGUGUGACAGUCCAUAAAGAAGUAUAUGGGGAAAGGACAUCAUCAAUGGAGGAAACUCAAGGCCAGAGCUUAAAGCAGAAACCAUAAAGGACCUCUGCUUAUUGGGUUGCUCACAGGCUACCUUUAUUAUUUAGCUCAGACCCAACUGCCUGGGGAUAGGACCACCCACAGUGGACUGAACCCUUCUUCAUCAAUUAGCGAUCAGGAAAAUGCUCCCACAGAUGUUCCUGAAGCCCGAACUGGUGGAGACAAUUCUUCAAUUGAAGUUCUUUCCCCCCAGAUGUGUCAAAUUGGCAACCAAGAUUAACCAUGCAAACGUGUGACAAACUGAUUUUCCUUUAUUGCAUAUCCUUUCACUGAAUCAUUCACAUUGAAGGGUCAGAGGACAGUGAGAUCAAGCCAGUGGCUUGUUAGUCAGACUUUGAAACUUGCACCAUCUGUAGGUGCUCCAGGAUUUCCAUGUGAAAAGUUUAUUUGGGGAAGUGCUUAGAUAAACAUUAAAUAACAAUAGCUCAUGGUAGCCAAGUGCAUCCUGAAACACCAGCUGAUCUCUGUGAGGUUUUGAAUCACGUACUGCAAUUAGCUGCUCACAACUCCAGUAAAACCAAGAGAUUCUUAAAGUUACAGCAUUUCUUGGGGGCUCCCCUAUUGAGCCCUUCCUCACCUCACAGCCCACACAAAGCCUGUACCUACCCUAACACCCUCACAUAGCCACUCCUGGAUUCCCAGGUAGAUAUCCACAUUUAUUUUUCUUAACAAAUAAAUGUACUUAAGUAAAAAAGUGUGAAACAGUUUAAUUGAUUAUUUGAGAAUCUCACAGCAUGCAACCCAAUUGUGUUCACUUCCCAUGUGGCCUCCCCCCUCAAAAAAAAAAGUCCAUUUUGUGUUGUCCUAUAUUCACUGGAGCGUGGAGCAUGAUCAAAUUCCUAGUACCCAGCCCACCAAAGGAGGGUGAGUCUUUAUCCAUCAGCUGAGGAGAGCUGUGUGGUUGGUGUCCAAGGGUUUUAGCUCUCCUGCACCCCUACACCCACACCACCACCUGCACCACAGUGCUGAGGGCUGGUGAAGGGUGGGGCCAGCUCUGCUGUGAGGGGCAGGACCAGCUCUCCUGCCGCCCACACACAUUAGCAUGGCUUCAGGUAGCAGCCCUAACCACAGGCAUGGCCUUUGGUGGUAACACUGGCCACAGACAUCAACACGGCUCUUGGCCAUAUCAGGACCACUGUCCCACUCACGGCCCUCAGCGGCUGAUGACCAUGAGCCUCAACACUGCCUUAGGUGGCGACACAUGCCACUUACAUCAGCAUGGCUCCCCAAGGCAGCAAAGCCAAGGCAUGGGGCAGCGACACAGACUGCAAACAUCCACAUGGAUCUCAGGCUUCGUGGCGGUCCAGGCAGCAACAUGGACCUCCGACACCAACAUGCCCUCUGGUGGUAUUGAGGACCAUGGUGGUCCUUUGAGGAGGUCCAAUCCAGGAAGUGAAACUUUCCCAUCUCCGGCCUCCAACAUUGCCCAGAGCCAGGGGAAUCCCGCAGCCAGGUGGCAGGUUCAGGGCUGAGUCUGUGUCUGCAUAAGUUCCCGGCUGUUGUGCACCAUCCCACCAACCCUACCGGACAAUGACAGCAUGUCGACCUCAGCCUUCUCUCUCACCUGUCACCACCAUCAUGUCUCCAGGUCCACCUCUCCCUAGCAAGGGCACCACUCAGUUUUUCUGUCUUUGCUCUUCUCCAUCAAGUAUUUAUUGUAGUGGUGCCUGCCUACCCCAGGCAGCAGGGGCCCCAGGCAGCACUCAGGUGUGUCCAUCCACCUAGGCCACCUUUAAAACAUUUUUAAAGUGGUAACACAAUUAGCAUAAAUUAUAGAAAUGGCAGAAACAUGAGGGGAAUACACUAAUGACAGAAAGUUUAAAAAAAAUUACCUCCCAAAAGGAGCUCUUCUUAAAAUCAUAUGGUCAAUAUUUUAAAGAAACUAAUAGGUAAUUACAAUGCAAACUCUGGUCAAAGUUUUAAGUCCAUGUAUUUAUUUCAUAUUCUCUCUCUCUCUCUCUCUCUCUCUCUCUCUCUCUCUCUCUCUCUCUCUCUCUCUCUCUCUCUCUCUCUCUCCUCUCUCUCUCUCUCUCUCUCUCUCUCUCUCUCUCUCUCUCUCUCUCUCUCACACACACACACACACACACACACACACACACACACACACACACACACACACCUCUCUUUUUAGGAGGACAAAUGCAGACAUAAUGUUUCACCAAGUCCAUCAUAUUGAAGCAUUCCAUAUUGGUGUCCUCUUUUCCAAGCUCUAACUAAAAAUUAAGUGCAUUAUAACUAGGCCGGGGGCGGGGGGAUGUAGCUCAGUUGUCUAGCACACAGUAAGUCUUGGGUUUGAUCCCUGGUACCUCAUAAACCAACCAGACCUGGUGGCACAUGUUUGUCAUCUCAGCACCUGGAAGGUGGAGGCAGGGGGAUUGCAUCCUCCACUAUAUAACGAAGUGAAGGCCAAGUCGGGAGACAUGAGAUUUUGUCAAAUAAAUAAACAAACAAACAAAUGUUCUCCAUUAAAUGUUCUCUUUAACCCCAAGUGGUGACUGUGGGUCUUGGUGUAUUGGUCAUCUCAGGAUGAAAGUCCCUUGUCAAUGAUCUACAAAUCUAUCAAUCACUUGCAACAAGAGUUAAGAUCACCUUAACAUAUGAUAGUACAAUGUCAUUGACUUUGAUUCCUUAUGGGGACAAUAAGCCCAUAUUGAAAGGCCAAUGUGAGUGAAUAACUGUUAAGUACUUAAAUGAAUAUAUGGGUGUAUUAAGAACAGUCAUAGUGUGGCAGGUGACUGAAGGUUGAAACAUCAAGAUUAACAUAUGAUUUGUGUAUUUUAAUUUCAAUUUUAAAAUUAAAAUAUAAUUACACCUUUUCCCCCUCCCUCUCUUCCCUCCAACCCCUCCCAUCACACCUCUUAUCCUGCGUCCUCUCAAAUUCAUGGCUUCUUUUUCUUUAUUGCCACAUAUAUAAACAGAUAAAUAUAUAAAUACAAUUUACUGAGUAUGUUUAGUGUUACUUGAAUGUAUAGGAUUUCAGCACUGACCAUUUGAUAUUAGAUAACCAAUUAGGGGGCUCAUUCCCGAGGAAGACUAAUUCUUCUCUCAUCAGUUGUUAAAUGCCUGAUGAUCUAUAGCUCUUUGUCUAGAGCUGGGAACCAGUGAGAUUUCCCCCUUCCAUGUUAUCAUAUCUAUGGUGUUAUCGUUGUUCAGAUCCUUUAUGCAGACAUAUUGCUGAGGUAUCAUGGGUGUCGUUUCCCUGUCUUUCUAGGAGACAUGAUCUUGCAGCAGACUUUAUAGUAAUUUUUUUUUAAAGAAUCACAUGACAUAAGCCAGGUUGCAGAAGACUGGAAGUCUUUUCUCACCUGGGCUUCAUGUAAUGAAUAGAGCCAGCUCACAAAGAGCCUGCAAAACACGAAAGGGAUGGACAGGCAUUAUGUAAGUGUUCAAUAAAGGACUGCAAGCCUCUUGAUCUGGUGUGUGAGGCUCCUUCCUUGGUUCACUAGCCCACUCCCAUUGGAUGCUUUUCCUUUCAUGAUACACCAUCUGUUUCUAUAUCUAAUCACAUCUCCUCAAUGCAGUCCUUUGUCCUUGGACACCAUAGCCUGGAAUUGGGUGCCCCUGAACUCAGAUCUGGAGCUCAGCACUAAGCAGGUUUUUCCUUCUCCUUUUCUUUGUCUCUGUUUUGGAUACUGGCCUAAAACCUAAGCAUGCUUCCCAGACACCCUUUGUCAAUGUUUUCGUGACUCUGCACCUGACUUAAAAAGCAUAGUUUUGUUUGGUUUCAUCUCCUCUCCUCCUGGCAGCUGCCAGGAUUUGCAGCUUGCCUAUCCUGUUGUUUUUCUCUCAAAAUUGGCUGUGCUUGGGCUUCUUCAAAUCUUUUUUAAAAUUCUUUUAUUAAAGAGACUGAGAAUCCAGAAGGACAUCUCAGUUCCCCAUAACCAAAGGACCAUUGAGCCUUCAGAAGAUGUCUUUAUCUCAGAUAUAUCAUUCUCCAGAGCAGUGAAAAUAGUUAACUCAAGUGCAGAUAGGCCAGCAUGGCCAAUCCAGAUCAGAAAAGUUAGUAAAUGUGUGCAUGUGUGUGUUCUUUUGUGUGAAGGAAAAUAUCGAGGGCAGUAACUCUCAGUGUAACUUUGGUUGCAUGAACAAUGAGUCCAUGAGGUGCUCAUUGCUCAGGAAGGAUGACUGACUGGCCUGUCUUCUUAAGCAAAGAGGUCCAACAUGAAGGAAGUCAGCUGUGUGACCACCUCUCUCUUUUGUUAAAUUUUUUAAAAUUCAUUUUACAUACCAACCACAGAUCCGCCUCUCAUCCCUCCUCCUGCUCCCUCUCAGUCUUCCCUCCAGACCCCCCCAUCCCCUCCUCCAAAGGGGUAAGGCCUCCUAUGGGGAGUCAGCAAAGCCUAGUACAUUUAGUUGAGGCAGGACCAAGCUCCUCCCCACUGCAUCAAGGGUGAGCAAAGCAUCCCACCAUAGGUAGUGGACUCCAGAGAGCCAGUUCAUGCACCAGGGAUAGACCCUGAUCCCACUGCCAGGGGCCCUUCAAACAGACCAAGCUACACAAUUGUCUCCUGUAUGCAGAGGGCUUAGUCCAGUCCCAUGCAGGUUCCACAGUUGUCAGUCUAAAGUUCGUGAGUUCCUAUGAGCUUGGUUUACUGUCUCUGUAUAUUUCUCCAUCAUGAUCUUGACACCACCACCCCCCCCCACUGCUCAUAGAAUCCCUCUUCCCUCUCUUCCACUGGACUCCUGGAGCUGGGCCUGGUGUUUGGCUGUGGAUCUCUGCAUCUGUUUCCAUCAGUUCCUGAAUGAAGGCUCUAUGAUGACAGUUAGGGUAUUCACCAAUCUGCUUACCAGAGUAAGCCAGCUCAGGCACCCUCUCCACUAUUGCUAGUAGUCUAGUCUGGGGUCAUCCUUAUGGGUUCCUGGGAUUUUCCCUAGCACCAGAGUUCUCCCUUACCCCCAUAAUGUCUCCCUCUAUCAAGAUAUCUUUUUCAUUGCUCUUCCACUCUGUCCCUGCCCAACUCAAUCAUCCCAUUCCCUCAUGGUCUCAACCCCUAUCCAUGCCCUCUAUUGCCCCCACCUCAUCCCCAGUUUACUCAUGGAGAUUUCAUCUGUUUCCCCUUCUCAAAGUGAUCCAUGUGUGUGACCACCUCUUUUCGAAAUGCCUUCAUAGACAAGAACGUGAACAAUGGAACUAUCAAUAGACAUACUAACAUGGAAGGAAGAAAGUCUCAUAGGAUCCCACACACAGACAAAGAGCUAUAGGCAACUAGUGAAUGCUGAGAGAGAAUUAGCCUCACCCAGGGAUGAGUCGCCUGCUUGGUUAUCCAAUAGGGGGAGGUCAGCUCUGAAACCAUACAUACACAGCUCUGAAACCAAACAAGAAAAAUAGAUUUAGCAGGCUAUAUUUAUGCAUAUAACGCAACAAUAAUGAUCAAAUAAAAAAGCUAUCAAAUUGAGAGUGAUGAGGGCAUUGGAAGAAGAAAGAGAGGGGGAAGUAAUAUAGUUAUAUUUUUAUUCAUUUUAGUUGAAUAGAAUUAUAUCAAUUUCCUCUCCUCCUCCCUCCAGCCAUUUCAUGCCCCCACUGUCAGGUUGAUAGCCUCUUUUUCUUCGAUUGUUAUUGUUACAGAUGUGUGUAUGUAUGUGCAUACACAACACACACACACACACACACACACACACACACACACACACACAACCUGCAGUCUGUUUUUGUUUGUGUGCAUGUUUGUGUGCAUGUUUGUGUUUUCAAGGCUGACUAUUCUGCAUUGGACAAUCAAUAAUGGGGCUCAUCCCUGAAAUGGGCUAAUUCUCCUUUUCACAGCAGUCAUUAGCUGCCUGUGGUUCUUUGACUAGGAGACGGACCCCAUGAAAUUUUCCCCCUUUCUCCAUUAACUUGUGCAUUGAUAUUACCUCUGUUCCAGUCUUGGUUUUGCAGCCAUUCCUUGGAGACACUACUUCAAGCAGAAUUCUUGCUGUUCGCGCUCUUACAAUCCUUCUGCCCCUCUUCUUCUAUGUUCCCCGAGCCAUAGAUGUAGGAGCUGUGAUGGAGAUGUAUCCAUUGGGGCUGUGCUCCCCACAAUCCAUUGAUAUUUGCCUUAUAUUCAGUUGUGAUUUUUCUGUCACGGUCUCAGCUUGCUGCAGAGAGAAGCUUCUUUGAUGAGGAAUAAUAGCUACACUUAGCUGUGGGUAUAAGGAUAAGAGUUAGAAUUUAGAUAAGGAAUAAUCCCAUCUCUCUCAUCUGCAGUUCCUAGCUCCAAAUCUUCAGAUGUGAGUAUAUGAGUAACCACAGAAACCAGGAAAGUAUAAAGGAACUCCAUGUGUGUGUGUGUGUGUGUGUGUGUGUGUGUGUGUGUGUGUGUGUGUGUGUGUGUAGGGGAGUCAGGGGUUGAGGGGGAAUAACAGAAUAUAGGUGAUAUGAAAGGGGAAAAUCAGAGCGGAGGCUCUAAUUGAGAAGACGAAGAAAGGACAAAUAACACUGAGGUCAUUUGAUAACUGUGGGGGGGCAGCUCCCACAGUUAUUUACCCCAAGUACUCUUGAGGAGUGAGGGAUAAAAGAGUUAGAUAGAAAUAUGGAGGAGAGAGACAGACAGAAAGAAACACAGGAUAGCCUCGGGAGGGCCUGGGUCAAAACCCACCAGCCCCUUCUGUCUCUACUAAAGGGCUUUUAAAAGAAUGCCAAGGGGUGGAGAAAAAGACCUCCCCCCAGCACAGCCAAGUGCAGAAUAAUCCCAAACACCUGGUGACCAUGCGUGUGGUCAAGCCAUCCCCUAAUGCAGCCCUGCUGCGUGAAGCAAGCUCAGAUCUCACCAGAAAACCUUGGUGGGCCUCUACAGAUAAUGCAUCACAGUUUUAAUGGUACUUCCUUGCUUGACUUCUGCUAGACACUAUUUCAUAUUUUGUAAUUAAUUAUGAAAACUUUUUAAAUUUCAGUUCUGUUAAUCUUAGAGAUCUUCCCAGGAAACGUAUUUGUAAAAAGUUUGCCUUUGUUGGUUCUUUCCUUU